rnacentral:lncRNA from 1 species
CCUUCACCUCAGUGUGAAAAGCGAAUCGUUCCAUACUCACCAUAGUAUUGCAAGAAAUAUGUGAUCUCAUAAUGUCUUUUUUGGCAUAUAUUAUAUAUCCAUUGGUCAUGACAACAUUAAUAUAAGAUUGUUCAAGCCACUACCAGAUACUUUAGGGAGCUAUUGCUAUUGUGUCUUCCACAAAUCUCUACAGUGAUCCGCCUUUGCACUUCACUGAAAAUUUACAAUGUAUAACGAAAGACACCCAUCCAGUAAUCCCACCAACAAAUAAUUAACAUUUUAAUUUCUAGACGAAACCGAAAUGUGUUUGUAAAUUGUCGCCUCCCAUCUUCAGAGAUCCCCGACAUGGGUACCCCAAGGUUCAGUAUUAAGUCCCUUUUCAUUCUUUUUAUACACAAUAAACUCGCGUAUUCCCCGUGGUCACUUCCAUUGAUGUAUUGUCUGUUCAGAAAGCGUAUGAAUACUUUAAGUAUGUGCUAUCUUACUGGGCGUACAGUUGUGUUGUAACAGUUAAUCAUGAUAAAUCUACAUACACUGUAUUACGUAACAAAAACAAUAUCGCAAAUCCUUAUUAUGUAUAUAAUAAUGCACCUAUUCGCCAUUCCUAUACUCGUAAACACCGUGAUGUAAAUACAUUUUUAGAUAUAUAAAGGUGUUAUAAUAUUAAGUGCAUAAGCGAUUUCUCAACUUAAAUGAUAUUUUCUACGGAAAUCUAAACCUAAAGGCAUGUGGUUGAUAGAUCAACUGUACUUAAACUAUAUAUUGCUCUCUAUACAAAUCUGAGGUCUGGCUAAACUGUACUUAAAACUUGGACUUAGACAAUUCAGCUGGUAGUAGCUAGAAUAGUUACUGUUCUUCCUAUUCGCAUCUCGAACUAGUUAUUAUUUGGAAUUAGCUGAACAACGUUGUUACCAAGACGUGAAACUAAUAAUAAAAAGUAUGAGACAAAACAACAACAUUUAAACAACCUAUUUCCAGCUCACUUUAAUGACCUUUUACCAUACUGAGUAGUCAUCAUUGGUCACCAGAAAUAAAAUAUCAGAAACAUUAAUAACAUUAGUAUUCCAGAACCUCGAACUGUUACUUUCACUGUUUUAUACCACCUAGAAAUGAAAUAUCCUCUCUUUGUAAUGUAUAGGUACCUCUACGUAAGUGCUUUAAAUGUUGUGUUUAACCGGAAAUAGAUCCAUCCUUGUUACUUAUAAAGUGGGAUUAUGAAACGUCGAGUUGUUGCCUACCUGCACUGUUUUAUACCACUUAAAGUAUGAAAUAACCGUUUUUGCUAAUAUAUAGGUACCUAUACGUACACGUUUGUAUUUUAAAUGUUUUGGUAAAGCGGAAAUAUAUUCCCCUAGUUAAUUAUAAAGUGUACGUGCUUCAUAAUCGUUACUGGUAUAUUUAGAGUCAGUUUGGAAGAAAAUCGAUGUGAAAAUUUCUUUUUACAUUUUCUUGAAUAUCGUAAUUAUAUAUGUUGUUAUCAGAACGAUAUGGUUUUAGAAGGAAGUCCUUUUUCGAUCCGGAUGAUUAUUUUUGAGUUUAUUUCAUGCUUUUCAUAUUAACGUCCAUAAACUUAAACGUGUGCUUUUUGUGUAAUAGUUCUGAAUUUAUACUCAUGUGAACUUUGGUUUUUUGUCAUUUACAAUGAGGCAGCAGAGAACAGUAUUUAUAACUUCAAUCUGUAUUUGUUAUUAAUUAUACAUGUUAAUAUUUCCACGGAUGCAUUGUCCGUUAUAAGCACUUUAAUUAGUCCAAUAUUUGAUAUUUCCACAAUUGACCGCUGUUUGUAAAUAUGUUUAUGAGAAGUGGGUCGUUUGUUAAACUACAUUUUACAAUUUACUAUUCAUUUGGUAUGUAUUUGACAUUUGACGUUUUCACCUUGCUGACAUCUACGUCUUAUUUAAUUACUGUCUUGUAAUUAGAGUGCAGUGAGUGGGUUUAGUUUUACCCGGUGGUUAGCAAUGGCCUUCGGCAUGACGAGCGAACGCUUCAGCCAUUAGGCUACCGCCCCUGUUAUAGGAGUGUUUAGGUUUGAUGCACCUACAUAUAACUAUGAUAAUUACUAUAUUAUUGAAAUUAUUUGAAAUCAGAUAACCAACGUGUCUUAGAUAUGUGUAAUGUGAUAUUUCUAAAUGAUGUUUCUUUUAAUGUUUGUAGUUUGUAAAAUAUCACAAAAAUUUCUUAAAUUGAUAAAAUAUUUGCAUGAUUUGAUAAAAUUGAUAAAAAAUAUACAAUAUGGUAUUUUGGAGUCACGUUAAUGAAUGCUAAACUGAUAUAAUGACUAUCUGCUGGUUAUGAAGAGAAGGGAUGAUAAAUGUGGAUUCUUGGAGUUCAUUCCACUGCGUGUGGAUCCUCGUACAGCUAAGGGAAACCAUUCAAAACAGCGAGCUGUGGAGUCUUGGACAACUAAACAGCUGCUCAUCAACAGCUGCUCAUCGCAGGUUUUUUUUCAUUACAUCUGCUCAGUAUCAUUAUGCAUCAAUGUCGGUUCAGUGUGGACGUUCUGUGACAUUUUCGAAUAUCUGUUGAACAUUUAUGUUACAGUAUUACAGUAAAAUACCUUCAAAACGAACUCCAAGGGGCCACUGAAAUUAUUUCGUUAUAUCCGUAGUUCGCUAUUCACUUUUUUAUAUGAUAAUAUAAGGUUUAUCCGGGACUUUUAAAACGGUUACCUAUAGCCGUCAGUUCGUUAUAUCCGUGUUCGUUAUAAAAGUAUUCUACUGUACAUGCUUUUGUAUUUAAUCACUAUUUGACUAUUGUCAUGUUUCUAACUGCAAUAAACAAUACAAUCAAUUAUA